GCUAGCGUAGCUUAAAUAAAGCAUAACACUGAAGGAUGUUAAGUAUGCACUACACA
rnacentral:tRNA from 1 species